GGGCGCUUAGCUCAGUUGGUAGAGCGUCUGCCUUACAAGCAGAAUGUCGGCGGUUCGACUCCGUCAGCGCCCACCA
rnacentral:tRNA from 2 species